GUGAGUCAUCGAAUCUUUGAACGCAUAUUGCACCUUCUGGCAUUCCGGGAGGUACACCUGUUCGAGCGCCAUUUCAACCCUCAAGCUUAGCUUGGUGUUGGGUGAGGUCCUUAGGGGACCCGCCCGUAACUCGUAGGCGGUCAACACCCGCGCCCCCAGCGUAGCAGGCUCACGCAUCCGCUUGGGGACGGGCUUUGACUUUGCCUGGCAACCAACCCUUUUAAAAGGUUGGCCUCGGAUCAGGUGGGGAUACCCGCUGAACUUAAGCAUAUCAAUAAGCGGAGGA
rnacentral:misc_RNA from 1 species